rnacentral:tRNA from 1 species
ACCGUUUGCCUUUGGUUUAGUGGUAGAAUGCUCGCCUGCCACGCGGGCGCCCGGUUUCGAUUCCCGGCCGAUGGUU